rnacentral:tRNA from 1 species
CCGCGCAUGGCGGCCGCGGCAGGCCGCGCGGCGUUUAGCGUCGCGCGGCCCGAUCGAUUCGAGCCGCGCCGCC